rnacentral:lncRNA from 1 species
AAAAAAGUGAAUUUUACUGUAUUAAAGCCAUCAAAUGAGAAAUUUUUCUUUGUUGCAUUACUAGUUUCAAAUCAGUGUGUGUGUAUGUGUGUGUGAGCAUGCGCACAUGUGCACACUUCUCUUUUAAAAGCAUAACAUUGGUGAUCAGGAUAUAUGUACAAUUAUCCUUACUUUGUUCUCCACCAUAAUUUUUCUUAUGAAAACAAAAAUUUCAAGAUCUGUUGUUUGCUAAAACUCUGUAGGAUUUUACUUAAAAUCAGCCCCAAUAUUUCUAGUUUCAUUGCAGGAAAUAAAGUUUCAAAGAACAAUCUAUCCUGUUUGGAGCCAUACACAGACAGUUAGAAUUAAAAUGGCAAUGUAUUUGAGACUAAGAAAAAAGAUUUUGCCCUUUAAGAUUACCUGCAUCAUUUCAAAAUUGACAGUUCAAAACAAAGAAAAAUUUGUGUUAAAGGAAAUGAUGUAGAUUUAGCUACCAAAAAUCCAUUCAUUUUGGUCACUUUCCUCAUCAACUUAACAAGUCCUGCAGCAAUCCACAUUGAUCAGGGUUAAAUUAAUAAAUAGCUAGGUUCCAAUCUAUUUAUUUCAUCAAUAUAGCCAAAAG